rnacentral:rRNA from 1 species
UACAGAGGGGGCAAGCGUUAUUCGGAAUUAUUGGGCGUAAAGGGUGCGUAGGCGGUUUUUUAAGUCAGAUGUGUAAUCCCCGAGCUCAACUUGGGAACUGCAUCUGAAACUGGAAGACUAGAGUGCUGGAGAGGAUGGUGGAAUUCCACGUGUAGCGGUGAAAUGCGUAGAGAUGUGGAGGAACACCAGUGGCGAAGGCGGCCAUCUGGACAGUAACUGACGCUGAAACACGAAAGUGUGGGUAGCAAACAGG